rnacentral:rRNA from 1 species
UAAUACAGAGGGUGCGAGCGUUAAUCGGAGUUACUGGGCGUAAAGGGCGCGUAGGCGGUAGGAUGGGUGUGGUGUGAAAGCCCCGGGCUUAACCUGGGAAGGGCACUGCAAACUAUGUUACUGGAGUACAUGAGAGGGUGGCGGAAUUUCCGGUGUAGCGGUGAAAUGCGUAGAGAUCGGAAGGAACGUCGAUGGCGAAGGCAGCCACCUGGCAUGAUACUGACGCUGAGGCGCGAAAGCGUGGGGAGCGAACAGGAUUAGAUACCCUGGUAGUCCACGCUGUAAACGAUGAGGACUAGAUGUUGCUAGGGGAACCUAGGAGUAUCGAAGCUAACGCGAUAAGUCUUCCGCCUGGGAAGUACGGCCGCAAGGUUG